rnacentral:ncRNA from 1 species
UGUAAACUUGUACUCUAAUUGAUGUUGUCCUUAAAUGUCUGUUUAUUAAUCUACUUUUAGUUUUUGGGUAAAAUUAGAGAUUUUGUUAAUUAUUGUUUGAGGACAAAAAAUUUAGUGAGCGAGCCAGAUUAGUACCUGGUUAGAUAAAAGUUAAAAGAGCAGGAGUAAGGUUGUAUUUAAACUGUAAGAAUAUUGGCAGGUUUUUAAAUUAUCUUUGGAGGUUGAAUAGUAAUUGAGAGCCCUCAUUAUCUACUUUUAUUUUAGGCGCAUGUAUGAUCGUUUAUUUUAUUCUUGAGGAUUGUAAUUUUAGUUUAUAGCUGUAAAAAUAGAUAUAUACUUGGUCUAUAUUAAAGUUUAUUUUGACCUACAAUAUUAUAUGUUGUGGAUAAUAUUUGUAGUAAGUAUUUGAAAUUGUAAAAGACAGUAAAAUCUUUUUAAUGUGGAUUUGAAGUUUAUUUAAAAACGGUACAAAUCAUCCAUCAAUUGCCCAUAGG